CCUACGGGAGGCAGCAGUGAGGAAUAUUGGUCAAUGGGCGCGAGCCUGAACCAGCCAAGUCGCGUGAAGGAUGACUGCCCUACGGAUUGUAAACUUCUUUUAUAGGGGAAUAAAGUACGCCACGCGUGCCUUUUUGUGUGUACUUUAUGAAUAAGCAUCGGCUAACUCCGUGCCAGCAGCCGCGGUAAUACGGAGGAUCCGAGCGUUAUCCGGAUUUAUUGGGUUUAAAGGGUGCGUAGGUGGGAAGUUAAGUCAGUCGGUAAAGUUUGGGGCUCAACCCUAACAGUGCAAUUGAUACUGGUAGUCUUGAGUACAGGUGAGGUAGGCGGAAUGCGUGGUGUAGCGGUGAAAUGCUUAGAUAUCACGCAGAACUCCGAUUGCGAAGGCAGCAUACCA
rnacentral:rRNA from 1 species